AUUGAACGCUGGCGGCAGGCUUAACACAUGCAAGUCGAACGAGACCUUCGGGUCUAGUGGCGCACGGGUGCGUAACGCGUGGGAAUCUACCCUUGGGUUCGGAAUAACAGUUAGAAAUGACUGCUAAUACCGGAUGAUGACGUAAGUCCAAAGAUUUAUCGCCCAAGGAUGAGCCCGCGUAAGAUUAGCUUGUUGGUGGGGUAAUGGCCUACCAAGGCGACGAUCUUUAGCUGGUCUGAGAGGAUGAUCAGCCACACUGGGACUGAGACACGGCCCAGACUCCUACGGGAGGCAGCAGUGGGGAAUAUUGGACAAUGGGCGAAAGCCUGAUCCAGCAAUGCCGCGUGAGUGAUGAAGGCCUUAGGGUUGUAAAGCUCUUUUACCAGGGAUGAUAAUGACAGUACCUGGAGAAUAAGCUCCGGCUAACUCCGUGCCAGCCGCCGCGGUAA
rnacentral:rRNA from 1 species